rnacentral:rRNA from 1 species
GACGAACGCUGGCGGCGUGCCUAAUACAUGCAAGUCGAACGCAGUUGGGACGGGUGAGUAACCCGUGGGUAACCUCCCAUCAGAGGGGAUAACACUUGGACACAGGUGCUAAACCGAUACUGAUGGAUGAACCAGCGGUGCAUUAUCUAGUUGGUGAGGUAACGGCUCACCAAGGCCACGAUGCAUAGCCGACCUGGAGGGGGGGUCGGCCACACUGGUACUUAGGCACGGCCCAAAGUCCUACGGGGGUCAGCAGUAGGGAAUCUUCGGCAAUGGGCGAAAAUCUGACCGUGCAAAGCCGCGUGUGUGAAGAGUGUUUUCGGAUCGUAAAACUAUGUUGUUAGAUGAGCGGUAUCUAACCAGAAAGCCACGGCUAACUACGUGCCAGCAGCCGCGGUAAUAC